GGCAAUAUAACUCAGUGGUAGAGUACUUGCCUAGCAUGCAUGAGCUCUGGGUUCAAUUCCCAGUAGUCA
rnacentral:tRNA from 1 species